CCUACGGGGGGCAGCAGUGGGGGAUAUUGCACAAUGGGGGAAACCCUGAUGCAGCGACGCCGCGUGGACGAAGAAGUAUUUCGUUAUGUAAAGUCCUAUCAGCAGGGAAGAAGAAAAUGACGGUACCUGACUAAGAAGCCCCGGCUAACUACGUGCCAGCAGCCGCGGUAAUACGUAGGGGGCAAGCGUUAUCCGGAUUUACUGGGUGUAAAGGGAGCGUAGGUGGCAUGGUAAGCCAGAAGUGAAAACCCAGGGCUCAACUCUGUGGAUUGCUUUUGGAACUAUCAAGCUAGAGUGCUGGAGGG
rnacentral:rRNA from 1 species